CCCUUAGAUGUUCGGGGCCGCACGCGCGCUACACUGAAGGAAUCAGCACGUCUUUCUCCUUGUCCGAAAGGACUGGGUAACCCGCUGAACCUCCUUCGUGCUAGGGAUUGGGGCUUGUAAUUCUUCCCCAUGAACGAGGAAUUCCCAGUAAGCGCGAGUCAUAAGCUCGCGUUGAUUACGUCCCUGCCCUUUGUACACACCGCCCGUCGCUACUACCGAUUGGAUGGUUUAGUGAGAUCCUCGGAUUGGUCCCGGCGCGGCCUCUGGUCGUGCCGGAGUGCCGAAAAGAAUGUCGAACUUGAUCAUCUAGAGGAAGCAAAAGUCGUAACA
rnacentral:rRNA from 1 species